ACCUUGAGAGCGAACGUGGAGGUUCCGUUUGUUGGCCAAAUAACAAGAUAAUAGAUGGUAAGAUUUUUUUUAUAUGACAUAGACUAACAAAAAUUGAUGGAAACAAACACCCCAUGCAUUAGGAAGCCGACUAUACCGACAUCUGUAAAUUCCUGUGUAUAGUAGUGUUAUAUUAGUAUUUGACCCCGUAAUUUCAAUGAAGCCAACCCGGUGGUGAGGUCGGCUGGCUUCGCCCGACUCUAAUGUCAACAAUCAUGGCGAUGACAGCACAAUUUGCUGCGUAGUACCAGAAGCAAUAGCCGAUAAUAAAUUACAAGAGAAUAAAGCUGCACAGAUGUACAACGCAUAUGCUGGCCAUGUUGGGUUCAGCAUUAGAAAGACCCACACUAAGAUGCGAGUAGAUAAGACUCUACGUCAAAAAAAUAUAUAGGGGACUACAAGAACGGAUCGAUCCACACUAAGCUUGUAGUUUGCAGUAACAAAGGUCAUCGAGAAACAGAGCCAUCGAAGGGCACUACAAGAACAGAUUGAAAUGCUUGUGUUGAGUCUAGUAUCAGUAGAUAGAGGAUUUGGACAGUUCAUAAACCGACGGGUGCCGGUUUAUGAAGACUUUGCUGAGUAAACCCUUUCUGGAAUGAAACAUUCUUACUGAGUAACUAAAGCAUGAUGCACUGAUGCCUU